rnacentral:rRNA from 1 species
GCCAGUAGCAUAUGCUUGUCUCUAAGAUUAAGCCAUGCAUGUCUAAGCUAAAGCUGAAAAGUGAAGCCACGAAUAGCUCAUUAAACCAUAUCUAACCUAGCGUGAAUCUAAACUUGGAUAUCUGAGGUAAUUCUUCAGCUAAUACAUGACAUAAAUUCUGGUUAACAGAAUGUCGUUACUAGCAACGAAUCAAAGCUCCUAUAAUGCGAGUAACCAAGGAAUCGAAGUAAUAUAGAUUAAUAGUAUAGACACAGUUCUGACUAUAACCACGCUAAGGGUAUGACUUAUCAACUGUUGACUGUGGUAUAUUUGACCACCGUGGUAUUGACGAGUAACAGAGAAUCAGGGUUCGAUUCUGGAGAGGGAGCUUGAGAAAUAGCUACCACAUCCAAGGAAGGCAGCAGGCGCGCAAAUUACCCAAUUGUCGAAGACAGAGGUAGUGAUGAUAAAUAACAAUACAAGACUCGUCCGAGGCCUUGUAAUUGGAAUGAGGUUAAUAUAAAUACCUAUCCAAGGAUCUAUUGGAGGGCAAGUCUGGUGCCAGCAGCCGCGGUAAUUCCAGCUCCAAUAGCGUAUAUUAAUGUUGUUGUGGUUAAAAAGCUCGUAGUUGGAUAUCGACAAGGUUCAAAUAGAUUCACGAUUGUGAAUAUAUAUGAAGGCUUGUAGCUGGGGAAGUAACUGGUGUAAAAUCUUAACUGAUUUUUGCAUAUAGUAACUUCAAAUAUUACUUUGAAAAAAUCAAAGUGCUUAAAACAGGCGUGAAGCUUGUAUAUUUGUGCAUGGGAUAAUAGAACAAGAGUUUAAACUCGUUCUGUUGGUUGAAGAGUUGGAGCUAAUGAUUAAUCGGGAUUGCCGGGGGCAUAAGUAUUCAUAAGCGAGAGGUGAAAUUCUGUGACCUUAUGAAGACUACCUACUGCGAAAGCAUUUGCCAAGAAUGUUUUCGUUAAUCAAGAACGAAAGUUAGAGGUUCGAAGGCGAUUAGAUACCGCCCUAGUUCUAACCAUAAACAAUGCCAACCAGUUAUCUUGGUUAGUUUGACUAAAUUGACUUCCAAGGCAGCUUUCGGGAAACCAAAGUAUUUGGGUUCCAGGGGAAGUAUGGUUGCAAAGCUGAAACUUAAAGUAAUUGACGGAAGGGCACCACCAGGAGUGGAGCCUGUGGCUUAAUUUGACUCAACACGGGGAAACUCACCAGGCCAGGACACUAAAAGGAUUGACAGAUUGAUAGCUCUUUCUCGAUAUGGUGGUUGGUGGUGCAUGGCCGUUCUUAGUUGGUGGAGUGAUUUGUCUGGUUAAUUCCGAUAACGAACGAGACUCUAACCAACUUAAUAGCUAUUACCUUGGUAACACCGUCAGAUGAGAUUCAUCUCAGGCGUGGCGGUGGGGUAAACUGCUUCUUAGAGGGACUAGCUAUUUGAAAUAGCGCGAGAAAGAGCAAUAACAGGUCUGUGAUGCCCUUAGAUGUUCUGGGCCGCACACGCGCUACAAUAGAAUAAACAAUAAGUUCUCCUCUCUGUAAAGAGCGGGUAAACUUAAGAUUAUUCUGUGGUCGGGAUCGGAGCUUGCAAUUAUUCUCCGUAAACCAGGAAUUCCUAGUAAGCGUGGGUGAUUAACUCACGCUGAUUAAGUCCCUGCCCUUUGUACACACCGCCCGUCGCUACUACCGAUUGGAUUUACUAGUGAGAAGUGAAGACAGAUUUCUCCGUGCAAAUUGUACCUGAGAUCUGAAAUCAUCUCAAACUGGUAUAUCUAGAGGA